rnacentral:rRNA from 1 species
CGGUUAACGGAGCGAAAGCGACGUUCAACCGCAAAAGAAGCAGAGGGGGCUUAGUGGUGGGGUGACUGCGUACCUUUUGUAUAAUGGGUCAGCGACUUAUAUUCUGUAGCAAGGUUAACCGAAUAGGGGAGCCGGAGGGAAACCGAGUCUUAAUUGGGCGUUAAGUUGCAGGGUAUAGACCCGAAACCCGGUGAUCUAGCCAUGGGCAGGUUGAAGGUUGGGUAACACUAACUGGAGGACCGAACCGACUAAUGUUGAAAAAUUAGCGGAUGACCUGUGGCUGGGGGUGAAAGGCCAAUCAAACCGGGAGAUAGCUGGUUCUCCCCGAAAGCUAUUUAGGUAGCGCCUCGUGAAUUCAUCUCCGGGGGUAGAGCACUGUUUCGGCUAGGGGGCCAUCCCGGCUUACCAACCCGAUGCAAACUGCGAAUACCGGAGAAUGUUAUCACGGGAGACACACGGCGGGUGCUAACGUCCGUCGUGAAGAGGGAAACAACCCAGACCGCCAGCUAAGGUCCCAAAGUCAUGGUUAAGUGGGAAACGAUGUGGGAAGGCCCAGACAGCCAGGAUGUUGGCUUAGAAGCAGCCAUCAUUUAAAGAAAGCGUAAUAGCUCACUGGUCGAGUCGGCCUGCGCGGAAGAUGUAACGGGGCUAAACCAUG